ensembl:rRNA 5S_rRNA 5S ribosomal RNA
GACAUUUGGUAGAGACUGUUGAAGCCACCUGGUCGCAGCAGACCCCAGAAAACGGCCACAUUCGCUGGUGCUGGAAGAAGGUCAUUAAGGGUGAAGCCUGGUGCCAGAUGUGU